rnacentral:rRNA from 2 species
AAAUUGAAGAGUUUGAUCAUGGCUCAGAUUGAACGCUGGCGGCAGGCCUAACACAUGCAAGUCGAACGGUAACAGGAAGCAGCUUGCUGCUUCGCUGACGAGUGGCGGACGGGUGAGUAAUGUCUGGGAAACUGCCUGAUGGAGGGGGAUAACUACUGGAAACGGUGGCUAAUACCGCAUAACGUCGCAAGACCAAAGAGGGGGACCUUCGGGCCUCUUGCCAUCAGAUGUGCCCAGAUGGGAUUAGCUAGUUGGUGAGGUAACGGCUCACCAAGGCGACGAUCCCUAGCUGGUCUGAGAGGAUGACCAGCCACACUGGAACUGAGACACGGUCC